AUUGAACGCUAGCUACAGGCUUAACACAUGCAAGUCGAGGGGCAACAAGAGAAAAGCUUGCUUUUCUUGUUGACGACCGGCGCACGGGUGAGUAACGCGUAUCCAACCUGCCUAUAACUAGGGAAUAACCUUGCGAAAGUAAGACUAAUACCCUAUGAUUUCCUUUGAUGACAUCAGAUUAGGAAUAAAGAUUUAUCGGUUAUAGAUGGGGAUGCGUCUGAUUAGCUUGUUGGCGGGGUAACGGCCCACCAAGGCAACGAUCAGUAGGGGUUCUGAGAGGAAGGUCCCCCACAUUGGAACUGAGACACGGUCCAAACUCCUACGGGAGGCAGCAGUGAGGAAUAUUGGCCAAUGGGCGGAAGCCUGAACCAGCCAAGUAGCGUGCAGGAUGACGGCCCUAUGGGUUGUAAACUGCUUUUAUACAGGGAUAAAGUUAGCCACGUGUGGUUAUUUGUAGGUACUGUAUGAAUAAGGACCGGCUAAUUCCGUGCCAGCCGCCGCAGUAA
rnacentral:rRNA from 1 species